rnacentral:rRNA from 1 species
UACGAAGGGGGCUAGCGUUGCUCGGAAUCACUGGGCGUAAAGGGUGCGUAGGCGGGUCUUUAAGUCAGGGGUGAAAUCCUGGAGCUCAACUCCAGAACUGCCUUUGAUACUGAGGAUCUUGAGUUCGGGAGAGGUGAGUGGAACUGCGAGUGUAGAGGUGAAAUUCGUAGAUAUUCGCAAGAACACCAGUGGCGAAGGCGGCUCACUGGCCCGAUACUGACGCUGAUGCGCGAAAGCGUGGGGAGCGAACAGG